rnacentral:rRNA from 1 species
UACGGAGGGUGCAAGCGUUAUCCGGAUUCACUGGGUUUAAAGGGUGUGUAGGCGGGCAGUUAAGUCAGUGGUGAAAUCUCCGGGCUCAACCCGGAAACUGCCAUUGAUACUAUCUGUCUUGAAUUUUGUUGAGGUAGGCAGAAUAUGUCAUGUAGCGGUGAAAUGCUUAGAUAUGACAUAGAAUACCAAUUGCGAAGGCAGCUUACUAAGCAAAUAUUGACGCUGAGGCACGAAAGCGUGGGGAU